rnacentral:rRNA from 1 species
UACGUAGGGGGCAAGCGUUGUCCGGAUUUAUUGGGCGUAAAGCGCACGCAGGCGGUCUCUUAAGUUUCGAGUGACAGGUGGUGGCUCAACUGCCACAGGCCUUGGAAAACUGGGAGACUUGAGGACUUCAGAGGGAUGCGGAAUUCCAGGUGUAGCGGUGAAAUGCGUAGAUAUCUGGAGGAACACCGGUGGCGAAGGCAGCCCCCCUGGGAUAAGACUGACGCUCAUGUACGAAAGCGUGGGGAGCAAACAGG